rnacentral:rRNA from 1 species
CCUACGGGAGGCAGCAGUGAGGAAUAUUGGUCAAUGGGCGCGAGCCUGAACCAGCCAAGUAGCGUGAAGGAUGACUGCCCUACGGGUUGUAAACUUCUUUUAUAAAGGAAUAAAGUGAGGCCCGUGUGCCAUUUUGUCUGGACUUUAUGAAUAAGGAUCGGCUAACUCCGUGCCAGCAGCAGCGGUAAUACGGAGGAUCCGAGCGUUAUCCGGAUUUAUUGGGUUUAAAGGGAGCGUAGAUGGGUUGUUAAGUCAGUUGUGAAAGUUUGCGGCUCAACCGUAAAAUUGCAAUUGAUACUGGCAGCCUUGAGUACAGUUGAGGUAGGCGGAAUUCGUGGUGUAGCGGUGAAAUGCUUAGAUAUCACGAAGAACUCCGAUUGCGAAGGCAGCUUACUAAACUGCCACUGACAUUGAUGCUCGAAAGUGUGGGUAUCAAACAGGAUUAGAUACCCCAGUAGUC